GACGAACGCUGGCGGCGUGCUUAACACAUGCAAGUCGAGCGGAAAGGCCCUUUCGGGGGUACUCGAGCGGCGAACGGGUGAGUAACACGUGAGUAAUCUGCCCUUGGCUUUGGGAUAGCUUCGGGAAACCGAAAUUAAUACCGGAUAUGACCGCUCCCCGCAUGGGGGGGUGGUGGAAAGUUUUUUCGGCCAGGGAUGUGCUCGCGGCCUAUCAGCUUGUUGGUGGGGUAAUGGCCUACCAAGGCUUCGACGGGUAGCCGGCCUGAGAGGGUGACCGGCCACACUGGGACUGAGACACGGCCCAGACUCCUACGGGAGGCAGCAGUGGGGAAUAUUGGACAAUGGGCGGAAGCCUGAUCCAGCAACGCCGCGUGAGGGAUGACGGCCUUCGGGUUGUAAACCUCUUUCACCACCGACGAAGCGCAAGUGACGGUAGGUGGGGAAGAAGCACCGGCCAACUACGUGCCAGCCGCCGCGGUAAAAC
rnacentral:rRNA from 1 species